rnacentral:lncRNA from 1 species
GGUGUGUGCUACGAUCGAACAGGAGAAAAGAAAAAGGGGGUGUGAACCCUAAACCUCAAGAAAUCAUCAAAUUGAAAAGGGAAUCAGGGUUGAUUGUAUGCAUGAACCAAGGAUGAUGAUCCCUUAAGCAUUUCUAACAUCAACGUAGGAGCCAUGUCAACAUGGACACGAGCAUGGAAGGGCAAUGGGUCAACGGUAAAUACGGAAGCUAUGCAUGAACUCGGACGCACGAGGUAAGUGAUUUCCGUAAUCACUUCUUAUUUUGUUUAAGUAAGGUAGCGUUAGUUAAUUGAGCAUGGUGAUGAUUGAAGUUUGAUAUGGUUUUGGUUGUAUGAAAUCGGUAAUUUUAGCUAAGUAGACCGAACGGGACAAUAUAAAGUUGUAAUGAUAUGACAGAUUGAUGUAAUGCUACGGUAUUGUAACCGGGUAAUGGGUAGAAUUGCACAUAAGUGCGCCAACCGAGAAUGGGGACUUAGGUUAAUGGUCAAAAGACUUAGCUUUUGACCUUAAAUAAAAGAAUGGUUUAACAAAAUACGAACAGGUCGAAUAAAUGUGCAUAAACUUCAUAAUGCUAAUGAAAUGCGUAAAGAUUAAGGACCCGGGUAAGGGCGUUUAGCCCAUAAUGUAAGGACAAGUCUUACGGACAACUAGAAAUAAUCGUGAGCAAUUUGAUUGAGGAAUGUCUGAGAUACGCAAGUUUUAAUAAUAAAAAUAUGAAUGGGUUGAAUAGUCGAAACGAGUAUGUAGAGCCGAAGGCUUUAAGUUAAGAUUUUUCCUUGUUUGGAUGUUAUAUUACAAGCUCAUAUGUUAGAAAAUCGAUUUACCAACGCAUAGGAAAAAGAAUCAUGUUAAUCGGAUUCGUAGAUCAAAAGUUAUGCAAAUUGUAAGUCGAAAAUACCCUUGGAAUUCAUAGCUGGGAAUUUACAGCAGCAAAUUGGAAGUUUCUGUCGAAAUAGAGCUGUCGCGCCCCGCGAGCGCCAGUCAGCUGGAAAAUUUUGGUUUUCUUGUUUGAUUUUGCAUCCGGACUCGAUGUUUUAAUGAUUUUCGGUGUCCCUUAACUUAUAUUAAAGCCGGUUUGAAUCACGAGUGAUGUUAUGAGCCUCCGGAUAAUGAAAGUAUGUAUUUUUCUUCGUGUUAGAGAAGAAAGAUUAUAAGUAAUCGAGACUAGAAAUGAGUGGGCAUGCAGUAUGGUAAGUAUAAAACUUAUAUCAUGGAAGUUGCGAUUAUGAUAAGAAAUGCGAGAUUAAGUGAAUAAAAGUAGUAAGCGAGGGCUCGCGUCUAUGUGUGUGUAUGUGAAUGUGUGCGUAUGUAUGUAGGUGUAUAUGUUGUAUGUAUGUAGGAAUUAGGAACGUAUACGUUUGUGGAUGCGAGAUGUUAUAAGUAUAUGAAGGAAUGGUUUGGACUGGUUUCAUUAUGUUCUAGCAUUAAUGUUUGCUAAUCGUGUGUUUGAGAUUGGAAUGAAAUGCAGGUACAUGAACACCGGGUUCAUGAAGUAUCGAAGUCGAAUUCGGAACAAGAAAAUACGAAAGGAUAGUUGAAUGAAUUAAAGUUCCUACUGUUAAAUUUUAUUCAAUAUUGGACUAUAUGAGAAUCAUGUCGUAUGAUAUUGUUAAUGACUAAUGGUUAUGAUGUAUGCGAUGUCCACAGGUAUUGCACGGAUUACCGCUACUACUACCGAAGAUAAGCAAGCGUUGAUCGAGUCACGGAGCAAGGGUUGUACGGAAAUAUGUAUUGUCUUGAAGCGUUAAUUUAAUGUGGUUAUUGUAAAUCCCUUUUGUAAAUGUUUAUCAUUUGUAUUUGAGCCUUCAAGUAAGUAAUGUGUCUAAAUAAGAAAGAAAUUUUUGGGCUCGUAUUUUUCCGCUGUGUCAUAUUUAAGUUCUUACAAGUUGGUCUUACAGGGAAUCGUUCAUUAUACGAACGGGUCAUGCCCGAAUUUUGUAAAUAAUAAUACUUAUUUUGGAGUAAGAAAUAUGGGCGUUACAAGUUGGUAUCAGAGCCCUGGUUUGAGGGAAAUCAAGUAGAAGGAGGUAAAUACUUGAACUCAAACCCGUGUGCUCUUGUGUCAAGGAACCCGUACAAUCCAAGACUCGAUCAAGGCCUAAGGUUAAAAGCGAAUGUAAGUAUGUAUUAAAUUAUGUAUUUGAAGGGAGAUGUAAGACUCUCAAGAAAUUGAAAGUACCUAAUACAAAAGAGAAGUAUGAAUGACAUGUUUGAAUCCGCGAGACGGAUUCGAAACAUGAAAGGAAUGAAAAGAUAUGAAUGAUAUGUUAGAAUCCGCGAGACGGAUUCGAAACAUGAAAGGAAUGAAAAGAUAUAAAUGAUAUGUCAGAAUCCGCGAGACGGAUUCGAAAGAUGAAAGGAAUGAAAAGAUGUGAAUGAUAUGUUAGAAACCCCCAGACGGAUUCGAAACAUAGAAGGGAAUGAAUGAUAGAAUGAAAAGUUUGAAUUCGUAAGUAGGUAC